CUCGUUUUAUUUGACAUGAAAGGAGCUCUUGAAUUCUUCCUAAGUUGUUCAUGAGGAGAAAUUGUCCACUGAAAAAGAACAAGUUCAAACAUUCGCUCAUGACUUUUCUCCUGCCCGUAAUCGAAAUACCAAAUUCCUUCUGUGUUCGGUAGUCAAUACCUUGGCCGUUAUCUCAUCAAUUAACAAGUUUCCCCCACCAAUGUGAUUAUAGGCCUGGCAAUUCCUUUGACAGAACGUGUCAACUGGAUAUUUGUGUAAUUUCGUCGUUCUCGUUAAUCCCAUACAGUUUUUCAUUGCUAAUUUAACUCUACAUAUGGUUGAAUUACAAGAGUGCUUGUUUUAUGCUCACUACUUCCUUUUUUAAGUAGUAUAAAAGAUUGACUUCUGUUACACUAGUAAUCAAAUCCUAUAGAAAGAAUUUUCAAU